rnacentral:rRNA from 1 species
AUUGAACGCUGGCGGAAUGCUUUACACAUGCAAGUCGAACGGCAGCACGGACUUCGGUCUGGUGGCGAGUGGCGAACGGGUGAGUAAUAUAUCGGAACGUGCCCAGUCGUGGGGGAUAACGUAGUGAAAAUUACGCUAAUACCGCAUACGAUCUAUGGAUGAAAGCGGGGGAUCGCAAGACCUCGCGCGAUUGGAGCGGCCGAUAUCAGAUUAGGUAGUUGGUGAGGUAAAGGCUCACCAAGCCGACGAUCUGUAGGUGGUCUGAGAGGACGACCAGCCACACUGGAACUGAGACACGGUCCAGACUCCUACGGGAGGCAGCAGUGGUGAAUUUUGGACAAUGGACGCAAGUCUGAUUCAGCCAUUCCGCGUGCAGGACGAAGGCCUUCGGGUUGUAAACUGCUUUUGUACAGAACGAAAAGGUCUCUAUUAAUACUAGGGGCUCAUGACGGUACUGUAAGAAUAAGCACCGGCUAACUACGUGCCAGCAGCCGCCGUAA